rnacentral:rRNA from 1 species
CCUACGGGCGGCAGCAGUGGGGAAUAUUGGACAAUGGGCGAAAGCCUGAUCCAGCCAUGCCGCGUGUGUGAAGAAGGCCUUCGGGUUGUAAAGCACUUUCAGUGGGGAAGAAAGCCUUGGGGCUAAUACCCUCGAGGAAGGACAUCACCCACAGAAGAAGCACCGGCUAACUCCGUGCCAGCAGCCGCGGUAAUACGGAGGGUGCGAGCGUUAAUCGGAAUUACUGGGCGUAAAGCGCGCGUAGGCGGUCUGAUAAGCCGGUUGUGAAAGCCCCGGGCUCAACCUGGGAACGGCAUCCGGAACUGUCAGGCUAGAGUGCAGGAGAGGAAGGUAGAAUUCCCGGUGUAGCGGUGAAAUGCGUAGAGAUCGGGAGGAAUACCAGUGGCGAAGGCGGCCUUCUGGACUGAAACUGACGCUGAGGUGCGAAAGCGUGGGUAGCAAACAGGAUUAGAUACCCGAUAGUC